CGGCCUAGGAAUAGAUUGAAUUAAACAUGGAUCAAAUUUAGAUUUUGUGUCACUGGCCUACACUCAAUACCCCAUAAUGUCAAAGUGGAAUUGUUUUUAGAUUUUUCUUUACAAAUGAAUUAAAAAUGAAAAGCUGAAUUGUCUUCAGUCAAUAAGUAUUCAACCCCUUUGUUAUGGCAAGCCUAAAUAUGUUCAGGAGUAAACAUUUGCUUAACAAGUCAUAUAAGUUGCAUUGAUUCAUCUGCGUGCAAUAAUAGUGUUUCAGAUGAUUUUUGAAUGACGACCUCAUCUCUGUACCCCACAAAUACAUCUCUGUAAAUAAGUCAAUAAGUCAAUGAUUAGUGUCUUGGAAAACAUGUCACUAUUCUGUCCUACAACAAAAAAUUUCUUAUUUCAUCAUGAUUGAUCAUACAUGAUGUUUCUCAGUCAAGAUAAUGGAUUGUUGAUUGAUUGUAUAAUACCCUGAUUGAUGUACGAGGCUGACUUUUCUUCCAAAGACAUGUUGUGAAGAAGAGCAUUUUGUUGCAUUGUGUUUAUAUGUCAUCAUAAGGCUUAUUAGUUUUUCUGGGACGGACGCAGCGAAACCUUUCUUGGUUGAAGCUUAAGGCCUAGAUUCAAUCAGAUCAAGAGUUAACGGGCGAUAGCAGACACCCGCAUAGCUGAUGUUUUGGAGGUGUCGCUGUAAAGCUGAAUUUAAACUGAAUUUCCACAAUGCGGAUUAAAUAGGAGCCCAAAGAUUGGAAAUUGGGAUCUGGGUGGAAAUAUUGUUUUGUUGAUAUUAUUUUAGAACUCACCUGGUUAAAAAGGAUGAAUAAAAAUAUAUAAAUACAAAGAUCAAAUAAUCUGGUGGGUCACAUGGAAUGAUUUUAGUUGUCGCAGGACACAAAAAAAAUAUUUUUGCACCUUCAGGGGGCGGUUUCCAGGACACAGAUUAAGACUAGUCCUGGACUAAAUAGCAAGAUCAAUGUAGGAUCUCCAUUAAAAAAAAUGGAUUAGGAAUCUGUGUCCCUGAAACGUGUCUCUGAAUCUGUGUCCCUGAAACGUGUCUCUGAAUCUGUGUCCCUGAAACGGCCCCUAAAGGUGUUUGAUGGAAGCACAGUGGACCAUAGAUUUACUAUCUAUACGAUGUCAUCAGUUUUUCUAACAUGAGGUAUGUCAAUACUGAACACUGUUAUCACGUCAUCCCUAUGGAAAAGCAUAGCAGAAUAUGUACAAAGAGAAUGAUCAUAUGAUGUAACUUAAUCAGAUUUGGAUAUCACCCUUUUUCUGUAAUAAAUCAUGGCUCUUUUAAAUCAACUGCUUCUCAGAAUGUUAUUAUAUGUUACUUCAUAUUCACACACCUCAUUUUGCACUCUAGGUGCUUGGAGUGCUUGGAAUACAAAGUCAACGAAGCAAAUGAAUAAAAUCGUCUCUGUGUUGCUCUUCAUGACUUUUUGUUUUACAGAGUGAACUAGACUGGUGGUGAGUAGGAGACGGGAGUUACUGCUCUUAUCGUGUAGACAUUAAUCAUCUUUGUUUUACAGAGAUAACUAGACUGGUGGUGAGUAGGAGAUGGGAGUUACUGCUCUUAUCAUGUAGUCAUUAAUCAUCUUUGUUUUAAUAGAGAGAACUAGACUGGUGGUGAGUAGGAGAUGGGAGUUACUGCUAUUAUCAUGUAGUCAAUACUCAUCUUUGUUUUAAUAGAGAGAACUAGACUGGUGGUGAGUAGGAGAUGGGAGUUACUGCUCUUAUCAUGUAGUCAUUAAUCCUCUUUGUUUCAAUAAGGUUAGGGUUAGGGGAAGGGUUAGGAAAAGGGUUAAGGUUAAGGUUAGGAGAAGGGUUAGGAAAAUUGUUAAGGUUAGGAGAAGGGUUAGGAAAAGGGUUAAGGUUAGAAAAAGGGUUAACUAAAAGGGUUAAGGUUAAGGGAAGUGUUAACUAAAAGGGUUAAGGUUAGGGGAAGGGUUAACUAAAAGGGUUAAGGUUAGGGGAAGGGUUAACUAAAAGGGUUAAGGUUAGGGGAAGGGUUAACUAAAGGGGUUAAGGUUAGAAAAAGGGUUAACUAAAGGGGUUAAGGUUAGGAGAAGGGUUAACUAAAAGGGUUAAG
rnacentral:lncRNA from 1 species